AAUGUAAACCAAAAUUGGAAAUAACAGCAUUGUUUAAUCAAAUGACCUAAAAAGAACCAACUUUAGAACAAAACAAACCCAUACUCAAGCCUGAACCGUCUCAGGUGUUGCCUCCUCAGUGGUGUAGACAAUAACCUUACUGGCAGGUUUUGACAAGACAUCAGCGUAUUCUUGGAAAGGAGAUUUAGUGAAGCGAGUCUCCUUCCAGAAGUCUGGAGUAAGGAAACCGUAUGUCUUCAUUAAACAAUCGAAGGUUGCCUGCAUAAAAGAAAAACAUUGAGCACCAAAAGUUCAAACAAAUGCAAAACCAAGUGAUAUGGGGAGAGAAAGCAUAGGAUGAACUAAGGAAUUAAAUACUCCAUCCCAUUUCACGGGAAUGUGUUUGACCGAGUAUGGAGUUCACAAAAGAAAGAAAGACUUCUGGGACUUGUGAUUUUAAACAUGAUAUAACAUUUCCGUGGCUAUAAAAUCACAUCAUUAAGGAUAAAAUGAAAAUUUUAAAGUUAAACAGUUUCAAAUAUAGAAAAGCGAAGAAUGACUAGAAAGUGUCACAUAAAAUUGGACAGGAGGAGUACAGCAACUGAAGUUCUUCUCUAGAGCAGAGCAGUUAACAACCACGCAUAAGUUUCAGUGUGUAAAGACAAUCACAAGUACAAAAACUAGGACAGAAACUACAGAUGGUAAACGCACUAGCUCAAAAGUUAAAGCAUUCUUUUAUUGUCCCGCCUCCCCCAAAGACAAUUCUCAAAUUCAAUCAAGACAUAAAGUGACAUGUUAGGCAUGUUGUGAUUUUUCUCAAAUAUGUUUAUUAAGCAAUGCCAUGUACUCCAACUCUCAUAACAAAAAACUAACUACUUUCACACUUAACCUUAGCUUCGGAAAUCCUAAUGAAUAAUGAGUUCGACUUGGGCUAAUUCAUGAAUUAAAAAAAUUGAACCAUUUUCUUGUAUAUAAAAACAUGAUUAAUGAGCUCAACAUUAGCAUCAGAAAUGGCAUUUCCUUUGGUUUAUAACAUAAUUAAUCACAUUUUCAUUGGCUUAUAACAUACUAAUCGUAUUUCCAUUGGUUUAUAACAUAAUUAAUCGCAUUUCUAUUGGUUUUAUAACAUGCAUUUCUACCUAUACUAACCUCACAUUAGAAUUAAGCAAGAAUAGCAGGGGUGAAUCCAGGAUCCAGAUUCGGAGGCCACAAGGACAAUUAUAUAGAUUUUCUAAUUUAUUCGCAAACAUAGUCCAAGCCAAAGGCAAUUGGUUGAAUUGAACACACAACAAAAAUCCAGAAAAGAAAGACUAAAAUUAAAAAAACAAACCUUGACAAAGUUGCCGAGGGUUUUGGUGGAUCCACGAGAAGAGGUAAAAACAUCCUCAAUACCAGCAAACUGCAACACUUUUUUAGGAACCCUAGCCGCCACAAUACCAGCACCUCGUGGAGCAGGCACCAUACGCACAGUCACAGACCCACAUUUCCCUGUAACCUUACACGGCACGGUGUGCGGCUUUCCAAUCUUGUUACCCCAAUAACCUCUCCUCACAGGAAUCACAGAAAGUUUAGCCAAUAUAAUCGCGCCACGAAUAGCAGUCGCCACUUCUUUCGAGCACUUCACGCCUAAUCCCACGUGUCCAUUUCCGUCACCUACAACAACGAAAGCCUUGAACCGGGUUCUCUGUCCGGCCCGGGUUUGUUUCUGAACCGGCAUGAUUUUCAUCACUUCGUCCUUUAG
rnacentral:lncRNA from 1 species